GAAUUGAGCGGCAUAACCUGAAUCUGAGGCAGCACCUGGCACGGCUGGGACGGAAGUCGCUGUCGUUCUCAAAAUCGGUGGAGCUGCAUGACAAAGUCAUCGGGCAUUAUCUGAACAUAAAA
rnacentral:misc_RNA from 1 species